rnacentral:lncRNA from 1 species
GCUAAAUGCAGAGCAGGUGCCAACAGAAUUUAAAUGGGGAGAGUGGCUGCAAGGUGCAAAUUGAUUUUUUUAACUGUCCAUCCCAUGGAGGAUGUAGCAGUCUUCCCUGAAAAGGGCAGGACACAAGCCUUGGUUAUGUCCAAUUGCAGCUCAAUUAAGAGUAUAAAAGUGUUCCCCUGCAAGCAGGGCUUUCUUUUUUAUGAGCUGUUGGACAGAGAGAAGAGGAUGGAGCUAGUAAAGUGGAAAGGGACUCCCUUGGGCGGUAUGCUUACGAUGCUCUGUUGCUUCUUUUCUUUGGUCCUAAGGGCCUCUAACAGCUUUAAAGAUAUGUUUAUGCUGGGGAGACCAUUGCCUCCUUUGCUGCGGAUGGGAAAGCGUGCCUCUCGCCCUUCCUGCAAACAGCAUUGCAGUGAUUUCCCUUCUGAGUGCUGUGGGGAGAGGAACUGAAAUGCUUGCUGAGACUACCAUGUGCCAUGUCAGCUAGAACAUCUGUAGAGUAGGAACACUGCAAACGUUGUGAGGAACUUCUGUGGGGAUGUCCUUUGUACUUGAAACAAAAAAAAACGUAGAUGCUUCUUAAGGUAAGGAUAAGAAGAAGGACGUAUUACAGUUUGCAAACCACAAGCAUAUCUCAUAGUGGCGUAAGUCUCAAGUUGGCAUAAGUCUUUCUGUUUCCUCUCUGUGGCUCUAGACUCUUCCAGAAGCAGCCUAUGCAAUGCUAUUCUGUCCCAUACAAGCUGCCUUGCACUGUGUUGUUUCUUCUCUGCGGCAGGAUGUAAAGGGACAGGCAUCUGGUAUGACCCAAGUGACCGGGUUUCUCUAUGUCAGUAUGGUAACACAGGUGGCUGGGAAUGACAACGAUAAGGACUUCUAGUAAUGGAGAACUGAAUGAGUUUAAUAAUAGCUAUUCACAUGGC